AUCACUUCCCACAAAAGGGAUUGUGCCCAAACCCUGCACCUUUUUUUUCUGAGCCUGGGCACUGCAGUGCCCCAUUUCUGCACCACGGGAUGGAGAGGGAGACCAUUCCAGAGCCCACUUCUGUCUAUGGCAUUUCUUGAUCCAGAAAAUCUAUGUGGUGUUCAGUCCCCCGAUCCCCUGCGUCCGCACAACCCUGGUCCCACAUCCCACCUGUGACCUGCAGGUCCAAGGGAGCGCUGAGGGGAGAGCUCCUCAGCCAGUUUUUCGUGCUCCUCUGCUGGUAGAAACAUGUGUAUGUCCCCGCACUUCUCUCAGUGAUGUUCAGCAGCAUGGAGCUCAUGACCCUUCCCUCUUGGACCUUCACACUGUACACCUCCAACCCAUCCUUGCACAAGACAAUUCGGGUAGCAGGAAACUGUUUCUGAAAGACACAUCGAGCCAGGACAACUUCUCCUUCCUGAGCACUGGAUGCGUUAAGGAACAGGAGUGGAGCCUGGAGAGUACCUGGAGAGAUGGCACAGGGAUUCCACCACCUCAUUGGUUGCAAAACACAUUGAAUCACAAGGCACAGACAAUCAGCACUCCAGAGAUGGACAUUGGGAAUUCAGGGGGGAAAACUGCUUUUCUCUCUUCCCAUUUCCUCCCCCAGGAUGACUUCUUUUUCUGGACCCAUUCUCACACUCACCAUCAGCCCUGGAGAUGCAGGUGUUCUGGGUGCUCACACCAGUACCUGCACCGCGGGACAGAGAGAGUUUUGUUUAGAGGGACAAUAUCCUGCUCACCCAGAUGUUCCCACCCAUGUCCCCACGGAGGACUAGGCACCAUCCCGUCUGCCUAUCCCCAUACAGUGUCUCUGAGAAAGCUCGGGUCCAUUUGUGGUGCGUUUGCUGCUUCAAGUGCUGUUCCCUAUCUUUCUAAAGCACCCAGCAUUUGUAACCCACGUAUUUUUGGAGCACGCCUACACCCUUCACCUACUGCACCACUGCCCUCAGCACCAUCCCAAGCCUAUUUCUGGUGGGAUUCCUGCUCCAGGCAUGGUUCCCUACUUCACACAGCAUCCCCAACUCACCAACCACCACCAGCAGCAGGAGGGCAGGGACACGAGGACACGCCAUGGUCCAUUGCGC
ensembl:lncRNA